UACGUAGGAUGCAAGCGUUAUCCGGAAUCAUUGGGCGUAAAGCGUCCGCAGGUGGGACAGUAAGUUGAGCGAUAAAUACCAGUGCCUAACAUUGGUGCCUCGUUCAAAACUGCUGAUCUAGAGGAUGGGAGGGGCAGACGGAAUUCCCGGUGUAGGGGUAAAAUCCGUAGAUAUCGGGAAGAACACCAAAAGCGAAGGCAGUCUGCUGGAACAUUCCUGACACUCAUGGACGAAAGCGUGGGGAGCGAAAAGG
rnacentral:rRNA from 1 species